rnacentral:rRNA from 1 species
AUUGAACGCUGGCGGCAUGCUUUACACAUGCAAGUCGAACGGCAGCACGGGAGCUUGCUCCUGGUGGCGAGUGGCGAACGGGUGAGUAAUGCAUCGGAACGUACCCAGUAGUGGGGGAUAGCCCGGCGAAAGCCGGAUUAAUACCGCAUAUUUCCUGAGGGAGAAAGCGGGGGGACCUUCGGGCCUCGCGCUACUGGAGCGGCUGAUGUCGGAUUAGCUAGUUGGUGAGGUAAAGGCUCACCAAGGCGACGAUCCGUAGCUGGUCUGAGAGGAUGAUCCGCCACACUGGAACUGAGACACGGUCCAGACUCCUACGGGAGGCAGCAGUGGGGAAUUUUGGACAAUGGGCGCAAGCCUGAUCCAGCCAUGCCGCGUGAGUGAAGAAGGCCUCGGUU